rnacentral:rRNA from 1 species
GAUGAACGCUGGCGGCGUGCUUAACACAUGCAAGUCGAACGGAAAGGCCCUGCUUUUGUGGGGUGCUCGAGUGGCGAACGGGUGAGUAACACGUGAGUAACCUGCCCUUGACUUUGGGAUAACUUCAGGAAACUGGGGCUAAUACCGGAUAGGAGCUCCUGCUGCAUGGUGGGGGUUGGAAAGUUUCGGCGGGUGGGGAUGGACUCGCGGCUUAUCAGCUUGUUGGUUGGGUAGUGGCUUACCAAGGCUUUGACGGGUAGCCGGCCUGCGAGGGUGACCGGCCACAUUGGGACUGAGAUACGGCCCAGACUCCUACGGGAGGCAGCAGUGGGGAAUAUUGCACAAUGGGCGGAAGCCUGAUGCAGAAACGCCGCGUGCGGGAUGACGGCCUUCGGGUUGUAAACCGCUUUCGCCUGUGACGAAGCGUGAGUGACGGUAAUGGGUAAAGAAGCACCGGCUAACUACGUG